rnacentral:rRNA from 1 species
GAUGAACGCUGGCGGCGUGCCUAAUACAUGCAAGUCGAGCGAACACACGAGGAGCUUGCUCCUUCGACGUUAGCGGCGGACGGGUGAGUAACACGUAGGUAACCUACCUAUAAGACUGGGAUAACUUCGGGAAACCGGAGCUAAUACCGGAUAAUAUUUCGAACCGCAUGGUUCGAUAGUGAAAGAUGGCUUUGCUAUCACUUAUAGAUGGACCUGCGCCGUAUUAGCUAGUUGGUAAGGUAACGGCUUACCAAGGCAACGAUACGUAGCCGACCUGAGAGGGUGAUCGGCCACACUGGAACUGAGACACGGUCCAGACUCCUACGGGAGGCAGCAGUAGGGAAUCUUCCGCAAUGGGCGAAAGCCUGACGGAGCAACGCCGCGUGAGUGAUGAAGGUCUUCGGAUCGUAAAACUCUGUUAUUAGGGAAGAACAAACGUGUAAGUAACUGUGCACGUCUUGACGGUACCUAAUCAGAAAGCCACGGCUAACUACGUG